rnacentral:rRNA from 1 species
AGGAACACAUCGGAAUCUACCCUGUCGUGGGGGACAACGUAGGGAAACUUACGCUAAUACCGCAUACGACCUUUGGGUGAAAGCGGGGGACCAGCAAUGGCCUCGCGCGAUUGGAUGAGCCGAUGUCCGAUUAGCUAGUUGGCGGGGUAAUGGCCCACCAAGGCGAUGACGGGUAGCUGGUCUGAGAGGAUGGCCAGCCACAUUGGGACUGAGAGACGGCCCAG